rnacentral:rRNA from 1 species
UACGGGGGGGGCAAGCGUUGUUCGGAAUUACUGGGCGUAAAGGGCUCGUAGGCGGCCAACUAAGUCAGACGUGAAAUCCCUCGGCUUAACCGGGGAACUGCGUCUGAUACUGGAUGGCUAGAGGUUGGGAGAGGGAUGCGGAAUUCCAGGUGUAGCGGUGAAAUGCGUAGAUAUCUGGAGGAACACCGGUGGCGAAGGCGGCAUCCUGGACCAAUUCUGACGCUGAGGAGCGAAAGCUAGGGGAGCAAACAGG